rnacentral:lncRNA from 1 species
CAAUAAAGUUGGUGUUGGCCUUGCUGAGUAUAAUUUUUGUAGUGGCAGCACUCAGUUUGAUGGUGGUUGUUUAAGAGGGUGGGUGUGUCAUUUCUCUGCGAGUUACCAUGGCCGGCUUGCCUUAUCAGUGGGUGUAGUCAGCAUGGUUUAAAAAUUGUGUUUCAGACUUAUUUCGAAAUAUGGGGAAUUUUUAGCUAUUUUUGAGAAACAUAUGGAGGUUGGGAAGUUGUGAAAUAGGACAUGGUAAUCUUUUAUGUUUGAUUAGUUAUGCACAUGCAAGGGAGAAGUUGUGAAUAGGAGAUGUCUUUCCUCUUUUUUUUUUUUUUUUUUUUUUUUUUUUUUUUUUUUUAAUAUGCUCAAUGAGUUAGACACUUGCUAUUUCGUGAGUUAUUUCUUAAAAUAAGUGCCAAAAAAGUUUUGAAGGGGUCGCAUGUGAGUCAAUAGAAAGGGAAGACAAUGUGAGUCAAUAGAAAGGAAAGACAACUGGGAAUCAUUAAGUUUUAGUUACCGUUCAUAAGUGAAUGUUAUUUUUCCCUUCUGGCAGUGGGAUGGUUGGCUUUAAGAAAGAAGAAUGUAAUAUGUGAAUGUUAUUUUUCCCUUCUGGCAGUGGGAUGGUUGGGUUUAAGAAAGAAGAAUGUAAUAUCGAUCUUUUUUAAUUCCUUCCAGAUUACAUUAAAGGGGUAUUUGAUAGGCAUUUUUAUGUAAAAAUGUAUUUUAGAAUAGUAAAUUGAUGUGAAAUGUGUGGUUGAGAAAUAAAGAAAAGUUUUUGAUUUACGUGUAAUAUUAUUUUAAUAAAGAAUGUGUGAUUGAAAAGAAGAGAGAGAAAAAUACAUUUUGAAAAAAAUGGCUACCAAACGGGGCCUAGGUUUAAUUCCUUGCUCAUGGUUUUUUCAUUUGAAUUCAAUAGUUUUUCAUUUAUUUAUUAUUAUUAUUAUUAUUAUUUUUUGUGGGGUGGGAAUAAUCUUUACUCUUCGGUGUUCUGACUGAGAAAUUUUAGAUUAUGGGUGCAUAUGGUUAUGACAUUAAAAUAAAAGAGGUGUAAAUAUCUCAUUGGGAUGCAGGAUUACAAUAAGAUCAUCCGCUGCCUCUUGUUUGGGUAUCAAGAGAGUGAAUAUUAAGGUAAGGUUUAUGAUAACAUGAGCCAUUCCAUGCAGUCCCAUGGGGAAAAAAGAAAAAAGAGAAAUCGUAGCAAAAUAUACAUUAAAAUUCAACCUAAAGCUAAAUACACAUUGAAAUUCGUGCUACCUUUUAAGAUAUCUUGCAAUAUUUGCAAUUAUAAGGUGAAAGAGCUUUCAAAGAAUGAGAUGUUCAGUAUUUAGUACUUGAAGUUGAAGGUUAAAGUCAACAAUUAAUUUUAAAAACAUGAAUCUACAACUUUUAUUAACUUUUCAACCACAAAUUUCUUCAAACUUUUAUCAAAAUCUGCUAAAAAUUCCAUUGGAAGCUUUGUCAAAACAACCCCUUAUUAAUCAUUGAUGAUAUGAUUGGUAUGGAGAUCAGAUAAUGGACAAUAUUAAUGAAAAAUAAGAAGCUAUAAUUUUCGUCAUUUAGUCCUACCCUGUACUAAUGUACCAAACAUGCACCGAAGGUUAACAUAUUGAGCACUGUAGUGCAGAAGUAAAAAGUUCAAAACUGCAUUCCAUUUUGGCAUCUUGAUCUCAAAAAUGAGUGCAUUUUGGUGGUUUUCAUGUCUUGUUUCUCAAAAACCUCUUCCUUUCCUCAUUUUCUUAUAUUUGUCAUAUGUCCUUUCAUCAAUAAUCUUGGAGGUAUCUUUAUGCAUCAAUAGGGUGGUGACUGUCCUGUCGAUGCCAACAGAGGGGUUUUCUUGAAUUUUCUACCAUUUGAUAUUCGGUAAGUAUAAUCAUUUUUCUUAUUUUAAUGAUGAUUGCAGAAUACAGCCAUCGCCAUCAACAGACAAUGGUCAAGAGAAAACCAGGAGAUACGAAUUUAUACAGGGAUUA